rnacentral:rRNA from 1 species
AGUGAACGCUGGCGGUAGGCCUAACACAUGCAAGUCGAACGGCAGCACAGUAAGAGCUUGCUCUUACGGGUGGCGAGUGGCGGACGGGUGAGGAAUACAUCGGAAUCUACUUUUUCGUGGGGGAUAACGUAGGGAAACUUACGCUAAUACCGCAUACGACCUACGGGUGAAAGCAGGGGAGCUUCGGACCUUGCGCGAUUGAAUGAGCCGAUGUCGGAUUAGCUAGUUGGCGGGGUAAAGGCCCACCAAGGCGACGAUCCGUAGCUGGUCUGAGAGGAUGAUCAGCCACACUGGAACUGAGACACGGUCCAGACUCCUACGGGAGGCAGCAGUGGGGAAUAUUGGACAAUGGGCGCAAGCCUGAUCCAGCCAUACCGCGUGGGUGAAGAAGGCCUUCGGGUUGUAAAGCCCUUUUGUUGGGAAAGAAAAGCAGCAGGUUAAUACCCAGCUGUUCUGACGGUACCCAAAGAAUAAGCACCGGCUAACUUCGUG